AAUAUUACAAACACAGGGGCAUAUCCAUGUUUUCCAAAUUCAAAUCACUGAGACAAAUCUUUCCAAACACAGAUCAUCAACCAGGUACCAGCACACCAGCUCAUCCACUGUAUGAAAAAAAAAAGAUCGGUUGAUAGAAGCAAGAAACAAUUGUUUGCUACCAAUCCAGAGAAAAAACCCCGCUGUGAUACAGAGACAGGCACUGAAUCAGCAGCCUCAACACCAGACACUCUGAACAAA